rnacentral:lncRNA from 1 species
AAUGGAAGCUUCAAGAUCCUCCGGCCGAGACUUCAAGUUUCAGUUUUGUCGCCUGAGUCUUCUAGUUUCGUCGGCCGGUAGUUGAGUAAGUCACCGUCGAUCGCCUUUGGUGAUCUCUUCCCUAUUUUCGGAUUAAGAACCAAAAACCUAAUUGAUCGCCUUUGGUUCUGUUUUAAUCAUCUUCUUUCACCAUUCAGAUUUAAUCAUACACUAAAAUUAAAAAUAUCCGGUGAAUAUGAAAUUUAUUCUAUUUGAUCCAAUUUGGGUUCAGAUGGAUUAUUAUAACGAGAUCAUUUCAUCUUUGCUACCUAUUGUGUUAAAUUUUAUUUUACAUAUUAGUUUUAUAUUAUGGAAUAUACUAUUUUUUAAUGAUAUGGUAGGUAGGUGAUUGUAUAAGAC